CCUUACGGCGGGCGUGCCGGGAGGACUUCGGUCCUGCCGGGUUCCUACUGCACCGGUUUUUCCACCCUGGCACGCCCGCCACCCGC
rnacentral:antisense_RNA from 1 species